rnacentral:rRNA from 1 species
UACAGAGGUCUCGAGCGUUAGGCGGAAUCACUGGGCUUAAAGCGUGUGUAGGCGGAUCGUUAAGUACCUUGUGAAAUCCCUCGGCUUAACCGAGGAACUGCCCUCCAACUGCGUUGCUUGAGGCCGGGAGAGGUGAGUGGAAUUCCCAGUGUAGCGGUGAAAUGCGUAGAUAUUGGGAGGAACACCAGUGGCGAAGGCGGCUCACUGGACCGGUUCUGACGCUGAGGCGCGAAAGCGUGGGGAGCAAACGGG